UACGAAGGGGGGCUAGCGUUGCUCGGAAUCACUGGGCGUAAAGCGCACGUAGGCGGAUCUUUAAGUCAGGGGGUGAAAAUCCUGGAGCUCAACUCCAGAACUGCCUUUGAUACUGAUGGUCUCGAGUCCGGAAGAGGUGAGUGGAAUUCCGAGUGUAGAGGUGAAAUUCGUAGAUAUUCGGAGGAACACCAGUGGCGAAGGCGGCUCACUGGUCCGGUACUGACGCUGAGGCACGAAAGCUAGGGGAGCAAACGGG
rnacentral:rRNA from 1 species